rnacentral:rRNA from 1 species
UGGGUAACCUGCCCAAGAGAUCGGGAUAACACCUGGAAACAGAUGCUAAUACCGGAUAACAACAGAUGAUGCCUAUCAACUGUUUAAAAGAUGGUUCUGCUAUCACUCUUGGAUGGACCUGCGGUGCAUUAGCUAGUUGGUAGGGUAACGGCCUACCAAGGCGAUGACGCAUAGCCGAGUUGAGAGACUGAUCGGCCACAUUGGGACUGAGACACGGCCCAAACUCCUACGGGAGGCAGCAGAC